UAUCAUAAUAACAUUUAUGUCGUCAAGUUUGUGACAGAAAUCUUGUCUUAUUCUCAUAGAAAAGUACCACAAAUUACCUGGAAUGUAAUGCACUUUGGCACCUUUGUAUUUCGUGAAAAGUACUAAAGAACCCUACAACUGUCAAAAAUAAAAUGUAGUAGGUUAUAUUAAUGGAUAUUCAGACGUUUUCUGUCAUUGCUAAAUCUCUGCGACGUUACUACUUCAAAUUAAAGAGUAAAUUGAAAAUUGAGUAAACUCUCCGUACUUUUAUUUCACCACUUCAGUUUAAUUCUAGGAUCAGAUACAUGUUACCCGAAGUACUCUUUUCUUCACAAGUGAGCUAAUAUUUAAGGCCGAAAAAGAGAGACUAAAAGUUCUACUCUCUUGGUCAAAGAAUGCUUUGAUAACGUAGAAUCUGUGAUCGUUCCUUCCUUUACAGUUCCAGUGUUACACUUCGCAUACGUACAAACCUUAGAUCUUACGAAACAUUUAGUUCAAGAACAGUUACAAACUUGUUUCGAGUUAUCUUCUAUGUUUAGAUUGCCUUUUAACGGCAACUGAGUGCCAAACUGCCAUUUCAGGGCCGGCCGCGGUGGCCGUGCGGUUCUAGGCGCUGUAGUCCGGAACCGCGGGACUCCUACGGUCGCAGGUUCGAAUCCUGCCUCGGGCAUGGAUGUGUGUGAUGUCCUUAGGACUGCACGGAGUGAUGUCCAUCUGUUACUUACCGCAAGAGUGCCUCUGGAUUAGGUUCCUGUGAAGGAACUGACAACACCAUCUCGAUUCCAUUACUUUAAGAAAAGAAAUUAUGUCAUGCAGUACGCUAAAAUUACCUCUUUAAACUAUUUACAUACCACUGUUAGAUAAUUAAAUCGUUCUUACGUAAUACAUAUACAGAAGAACUGCAGUUCUUCAAUCGUCCCCUGUUGAAAUGUAACUGUUGCUGAAAACUAUUAGUAACUCCACAUUCACAUUUUAUGAGCUGAGACUUAAUUAACGUUUGGUUCAAUUGGUGCUAGUACAGAUUCCAGAAGUGUUCCUAGAUACAAGAAAUUAUGAAGUAUCGUGCAAACGUUGAGUGUCUCAGAGAAAUUAAAUGCCGAAUGGAAAUAAACAUUAUUUCUAUCUUA